UUCGGCACAAAUUAUGUUCGAGCUUGACGUCGAAGAAGGCGUCACAGUAUUUCGCCUAAGGAGAUACAGAGCUGCUACCAAUAAAAUUCCGUUCGACUUUCCAAAUAAGGUGAAUGUGCUUUAUGCCAAUGGUUACUGCAUUGUGUUGCAGUUCCCUGGAGCAAAGAAGGACGAAGAAAUGUGCUCACUUUGGGGGCCAGAGAACGCAAGCGGAGUAGAUGAGCGAAUCUGCUUUGAUAUUUACAACAGAGAUUGCCCAGGCAAAAAAACUGCGUCAUAUCUAAUUCAUCGUGAACGCUGUGACCUACAUGACAAGUUGGUUCAAGAGCCCGGCAAGAAACGUGGGAGUAAAUAAACAAGGCACCCCAAA
rnacentral:lncRNA from 1 species